UUUUUUUCAAAGAACUAAGCAAAAGGCACUCAUAAAGCACUUCGAUCACAUAAACUCCAACUCCAUCUAAGGAAUCCAAUAUAUUCAUGGUGAUAGCCGACCUCUUAAUCUCAAGUUCACGCGCCCCACGCACAGUAAGCCAAAGCCUGAGACAUCAGGGCUUGAAGGCGGAGAAAGAUUUGUUCCCAUUGGCCCAAACGGGUAGUUGGGAGCCUGGGUUCCCUCAAAGCCGCCUCCGGGAGACCAGAAGGCAGCGGGGUUUUAUGGAGCUAGGGGCUUGGCGGGAGGAGCUUCCGGCAAACACAGGGGUCACUUCCCAUAAGCCCCUGGGAAAGCUGACUCCCGGGGCAAGGCUGCUGAGGGCCGGCCAGCGGGAUGAACCUCCCUGAGGGCGUUCUCUUUCUUCCGCAAAAGGAGCUCACAAAUCCUCAAGACACCGAGUCACCCCUCAAGUUAACAGGAAAAAACAGCAAAUUGCUUUACUAUCUGCAGUACCCCUCAGGCACCCGGCUUCAAUGGCACAACCUGAAGAUUCCGAGCUAAACUGAUUUUCCUCAAGUUAAGAAUGCAUCAGGGGCCGCCCGGGCCGAGUGGUUGAGUUCCAGCGCUCCAAUGCAGUGGCCAAGGGCGUCACGGGUUCGGAUCCUGGGCGCCGACAUGACGCUGAUCGUCAGGCCACGGUGAGGCGGCGUCCCACAUGCCUCAACUAGAAGGACCUGCAACUAAGAUAGACAACUAUGUACUGGGGGGAUUUGGGGAGAAAAAGGAAAAGAAAAAAAAGAAUGCAUCAAACCAAGUUUGAAUUUUUACCCCCCAGUUAUUUGCAACAUGACCAAUUCUCAUGGAUGAGGGAGGCAAAGGCCCUUCAGGGCAAGACGUGGUGAGAACUUAUCAAACCUACUGUCCUCAGAGAGCACAGUACAGGGAUUUUCCUCGUGAGGGCCCCCGGGUCCCUCACCGCGAAAGCAGCGAGGAAGGAGCGAGAGGUGGCUACACGGCGACGACGCAGAAAGACGCGGCGGGAAGGAAGAAAAAACAGAAAACCAAAGGGGGAAAAAAUGGAGCCUACUGAGGAGACGCAGGGGCGGCUUCAGCUCCAGCGGCGGCGACGGCGACAGCACUGGCGGGGGGCUGCGCAGCACCAUGGGGCCUAGAAGGGCCUAGAAGAGGCGCGGGGCGGCGCUCCCCGGGUCGGGAGAAGCGCAGGGCGCGGAGGAGCCGCGGCGUGUUGGCGUGCUCCUGCCCGGCGCGGGGACGGGAGAGUGGGCCUGGAUCCCCUCGAUAGGGGCCCGCAGGACGCGCGACAGGCCCUCGGCGGAGCGGGCCUCCCCACGACGCGCUCGCACGAUGUCGCAGGAACCCAGGAAGUCGACGCGACUGUCGGCAUCGCUGGUUUCGGAGUCGCUGAAGAAGUGCCGGAAGUCGCCGCCGCCGUGCUUCCUCAGGCCGUCGGCGGGCGGCCCCGCGGGCUCCCUGUUCCCGAGGACACCAGCUGGUCUUGGACGGCGCGGCACGUGCAGUGGCCGCCAGCUGGAUCUCCUCCAUCUCUCGAGUCGUGGCCUCCAGGAUGGCGGCAAGCUUCUUUCCCUGGUCACGGCGAAGCUGGGCCCGGAUCCUCUCACGCCGCCCCUUCUUUCGCGCCUUCUUUGUGCCCUUGAGAGGCGGGGCGGCUGGGCCUCGAGAUCCAUCUUGGCAAGAUCUUCAGUGACAGAAUCGAGGUUGCUGUCAUCAGGAAAAUUCUUUUGGAGCUUCUCUAGUUCCUGCUGGUGCCUGGGCUCCGUUGUGGCCUCAAGACUGGCCACGUCGAGGAGCAGCUGCUUCCUUCCUUUCCGGUUGCUCCUGGGUCGGGCCUACAGCUCUUUCUUCUUGAGGUGGUGGCGUCGUACCAUCCGCUGGUGCUCCUUCUGCCGAUCUUUCCUGAUAUUUAACGGCAGGCCAGAAUGGAAGUUUGGCGGCAGCUAAAGUACCGGCUGCUGUUCAGACUAACGGCGCAAACCGCGAUCAGGCCACGGGUCCUCAGCCUCCCCUGGCCGCUGCAGUCUGUAAAGCGUGACUUUUGCAAUGGGACAGGAUCCUUCAGGAGGUCCUGAGCCACUGGAAUACUCAGAGCCUGGGGACCUGUGUGACAGGAUGGAGGAGGGAUUUCUACGUUGAGCCGGAGGGUGGACGGUUUCUUUCUAGGGCCCUUAUGUCUCUGAGGGCGUGUGGCUACUGGGACCACCUUAGACUCUGCCCCAGGGGGGCUGUUAUUGGCCAUCUAGGGCUCCUCGGGUGUCACCUUUGGGGCUGAUGUCUGCUUCAUGUCAGGUCUACCCCCAGCACUUUGCCACAGACCUGAUCCGCGUUACUCCCAGAAAGGGCCCAACUUCAGCUCAGAGAAUUCCUACAGUCUGGCCCCUUCAGAUCACCCCCUUUCUCUUUGCCCCACUUGCUUGGCUCCCAGUCUUGGUUCCCCCUUCCCAUUUUGCCCCUUUUGGAUUUGCUGACCCUAGCAUGGGCCCACACAUCCACAGGACCCUGCUUCUGCUACAGGACUCUCAGCCGCCGGCCCUGCAGCCCUGGGCACAAGACACUGCGCUUCCUCUCCUAGUCAGAUGUCUAAGACUUCACUGCCCAUCCCUGUCCUGGAGGACUCAGACUCUCUUGGACAGAAAUCUACGUCCCCGUGAAAUGCUGCCGUGUCUUUCUGAAAGACAAGUUGUGGCAUGCAGGAUGCUGCCUCAGCAUGGCUUGACGAGUGGUGCCAUGUCUACACCCAGGAUCCGAACUGGUGAAACCUUGGGCUGCCAAAGUGGAGUGCACGAACUUAACCACUCGGCCACGGGGCCGGCCCCAAAGAAAUGAAAAUAAACCUUUGCUCAUGGGAGAGGGAGUGAAUGCCAGUCGAGACUCCACUACAUAAAGACAUUGCUGCUCACAGAUGCUCUGCUGAUCCCUCAAGAAUCUUGAAAUUGGUGAUAGGGUCUCCAUUUUACAGAUCUUAUGAAGCAAGGACUACUAUUCACCCCAAAAUGAUGAAGGCAGGCUGACUGGAAUGGAGAAGUACAUGUUCUGGAGGGCCUGACGUGGCCUGUUGAGCAUGCACUGUACACCUGCUUUAAACAUUUAUGAUGUCCCAAACACAAGAAUGAUGCCCUUAAAGGUAAGGAUGUCUGUUUCCCCAUAUCAACAUUCCGUUAAGGAUAAGCAGCUCCUCCUAAAAACUAAGGAUUAAUUACUGACUUGCUGUGCUCACCUUGUGACCACUUACCUGCUGUGCCAGCAAAGCAAUCUCAUGACUAUUGUAAAAGGGACAUUCCUGUCAUGUGAUAUAUGCUGUUUGUUCCAAGAUGGUCUAUAACCACUCUGUAUACCCCACUUCUUUGGAGUGCUUCCUUCUUUUGUGAAGGUGCCCUCCCAGGCUAUAAGGUCCUUAUAAGGUUGGCUCAUAAUAAAUUCAACCCAGAUUUGAUUUAUAGAUCGGAUUAUGGAUUAUUUGCAUCGGCAAA
ensembl:lncRNA